CGAAAGCCUGACGGAGCAAGACCGCGUGAGGGAGGAAGGCCCUUGGGUUGUAAACCUCUUUUCUCAGGGAAGAAGCUCUGACGGUACUUGAGGAAUCAGCCUCGGCUAACUCCGUGCCAGCAGCCGCGGUAAGACGGAGGAGGCAAGCGUUAUCCGGAAUUAUUGGGCGUAAAGCGUCCGCAGGUGGCGAUUCAAGUCUGCUGUCAAAGCACGGGGCUUAACUCCGUUAAGGCAGUGGAAACUGAAUGGCUAGAGUGCCGUAGGGGUAGAGGGAAUUCCCGGUGUAGCGGUGAAAUGCGUAGAGAUCGGGAAGAACAUCGGUGGCGAAAGCGCUCUACUGGACCAUCCCUGACACUCAGAGGACGAAAGCUAGGGGAGCG
rnacentral:rRNA from 1 species